UUUUUAGUUUUUUAAGAGAGUGAAAAAUUGGGCAGCUUAUAUAAUUGAUCUACUAGGACAAUGAAAGCAGUUAUUUUUGCCACUCUAAUUGUUCUUAAGCUGAUCAUAAGCAGCGCUAGUGCUCCAGCUGAACUUGAAUCUGAAGAGAGUAUAGUGGUGGCUCUAGAGAAGGCUUUAAUGCAAGCUGCUCAUGUCAAUGAAGAUGCUGAAGAAAACAGUGGCAUGACGGUCCAUUUCGCCUAUUAUGGUUUAACCUGUACCAGCCAUCUCAACCCCAGUGUUACAAGAAUUAGCACCAACUGGGCCAAACAGCAGUGUGAUGGGCGAAUGAGCUGCUCUGGAGCUAUAUCUGUUUUCGGUCUCACAGAUCCUUACCCUGGUUGCCGUAAGGACUUCAUUGUCGUUGCAGGAUGCCCCAAUGGGCACGUCCUAGCUAACCACUUGUCAAGUGAGGCUCAUGGGAAAUUAUUUUCCCUGAGUUGUUAUACUGAGUAGCUGCAUAGCUGUGUAGCUCAUGCAAUGAACUGAUAUAUAGAUCUGUAAGACAACUGUGUAACAUUUACUAUAUAGCUUUAGUUAGCCAUGCAGUUAGAGAUGCAUAUUAAUUUAGUGUUGAAUUUGUUACUGACAUGUCUAUACGUGUUAUUUGCAUUUGAUUCCCAGAA